rnacentral:lncRNA from 1 species
ACAACGGUAAAAGAAAUGAAAUAACUUGACAAAAAUAAAGUUUUCUUUAACAACCACAAGUGUAUAUGAACACCUGUAUAGGCACAGUCAUGCUGGACCCAAAAUGAUUUGCCCCCUCCCUGUUUUUUUGCAGUACGGGGGAUCGAACUCAGGACAUUGCACUUGCAAGAUAGGCGCAGCACCACUGAGCUAAAUCUGAUCCUGGGCCCCCUGUUUUUCAACUGAGGAGCCAGACAUCAAGAAGCAAAGACAAAGCAGAGUGUGGUGGCACAUCCAUGUAGCCCCAGGACUCAGGAGCUGAGGCAAGAGGAUCACUUGAGCCUGAGAAUCCCUUUCCAGUCCGAGCAACAUAGCAGACUCCAUUUCCAAACAAAAACAAGGACAUCAAGCAACCAAGAAAGAAAGACGAGGGGUGGAGGGAAGAAGAGAGAGUCGCCACUUAACAGGGAAAUCUAGACACCUACCUACAGAAGAGUCAGCAAACAGCGUCAAGGACAGACGCACACAAGUCACCCCGACUGACCUUUAGACAGCCCUCCCCUGGUCACAGGAGAGAAAGCCAUGGAAGCCGGCCGUGGCCCUCUUCGGAGCAUUGGAACGCGUGCUUUGUGCUAGGGUGAGUUUCGGGUGGCAGUGUGAAGGCAUUCGGGGUGCCUGGGGCCUGGCAAAGCAUUCCUUCCGGUGUGUCUGCCUGGGUGUUUCCGGAAGGAAUCGGCGAUAAACCAGUGGAUGGAGCAUGAUAGUAUGAUUUCUGCUGUGAUCCACGGGAUCAGCCUCACCCUAUCAGCUGAGCACCCGCAGAGUUAAAAGCACGAUGGCAGGGUGAGCUUUCUGCUCCUCCUCACUUGGAACACCCUUCUCUUCUGUGUUUAGACCUCAUGACCCCCAGCCCAGCCCACCAGCCUUCAAACUCUGGGGCUUGCGUGUGCCCUUUGAAUUUAAACUGAAC